UCACAGACCCCAAUUGAACUGUCUAACCCAUGCUAGCAUGAUGAUGAUGAUGAUGAUGAUGUUGGUUCAAGUGUUGGGGGUAAUUAUUAAGCAUUUACAUUAACGUCUACAUACCUGAGGGUCUUGUUUACUGUGUACUGUGUAUAAAACACACCUUUUACACUCAAAAUAAUAAAAAUAAUAAUAAAUAAGAGAUAUAAAUAUAUUUCACAGAAUGUUUAUAAACAAUUUUAAGGCAAGUGUAGGAGCAGGAAAAAAAAAUUAUCUGUACAAAAUAGUCAAUAUAAAUGCUGGUUGGUUGAUUUCUCCAGUCCAGUCCUGCUUGUAUAGCAAGAGAAGGAGAGAGAAAGUAAAAGAAUGAUAUAGAGAGACAGUUACUAUAAGAGGUGCAGGAUGAGUGCAUAUACAAGACUUGGUGGUAGGAGGCAGAAGGGAGGAAUAAAUGACCGAAUAGUUACGGGAGGAGUUAUGAGAUUUUAAGGUAAUAAAUACUAUUCUUAUGAAAACUAGAAUUUGUUUCAUCAUUUCGUAUGAGCACCAAGAAAUUUGAUAAAAAGUUAAAUUCUUAUUGUAUGGAUGUCAUAUUUCUUGAUAUUACCCAUAUUGGUAAAAGUAUACUUCUUAAGUUACUCAUCAUUUGACAAAUAACACUCUACUAUUCAUAUAAUGCUAUAUAUGAGAAAGUAUGUACAUUGAGGGAGACUGAGUUAUGUGCUUUGCUCAGAAGCAGACCACAAAAGAGUUAAACCAUGUAUUACAAAAGGGAUAUUUUGAGUCCUGCAAAUGAUAUGAGAUAGUCCAAAGUUAUGAAAUAUCCUAAAUAGCGUAUCUUUCUCUGUAGAAAUAAUUGUCCCACUAGUAUAGAUGUGUUACACUCUACAGAGCACAAUUAAUAGUAACCAUUUUGAGUUUGAAGACUCAGGAAUAACUUUUAUUUUCCUUGCUGAGUUCGGAGGGGCAAACAAUACUUGUAACCUCCAAAAUUGGUGAGCUUAACAGUGUUAAUGUUCCAUUUAAACUGUUGCAAGUGAACAUAGUAACACAUGAGCAAAGUGACAGUUCCAGAGAGCCAGUUUUUUUGCAUAGGAAGGACUGCUUAAAGUGGUUUAUGUGGGGCUAGUAGGGAUGGGUACAGCAAGAGUGUUGAGAAGUGGAAGGCUGAAUGGGACAGGGGUAACUGAAUGGCAGACAUUUCAGUUCAGCCAGUUCUGAGAAAUGGGGGCCAUUAUUGUAGCAAUAGAAAAGACAAACAGGAGACAGUAUGUCCUGUGGUCCUAUGGUUGGAGCAUGUUCAUGAGUGAUUGUCAGUCAGUUAAGUGACUCUUCUCUGGAUGUGGUCCAAAUUGUCUAUGUUCAUUGCUGCAGCACAAUUCCAGAUGUGGGAGUAGUACUUACAUUUUGUAAAGUGAAAUAAUUUCUGACCCUGAAGAAAAUUGCCAAUUUUAUGGAUAUAGUCCUAGCUAUGCUAAAACAAUGCUUUUGCCAGAAGAGAUCUUCGGCAAUGUGUGGCUCCAGCAUUUGGAGUGACUGAGGGCUCUAGCUGCAACUGAUUUGAUGUGGUGAGGUGGUAUUUUCUUAAUAUUCCUCAAUUUUUAUUUUGCUCUUAAAAGGGACAAAGUUGGCAUGGCACCACUGAAGGAUGCUCUCAAGAUCUCUAUUUAUGAAAUUAAUGCAGGUUUGGUGCAAAGUGUCUAGGGACCAUGCAGAUGAUGCAUGACUGGGAAAGUUAGAGAAGACUGAAAGGUCAUGUCAUCUGCAUAAAAAUGGCCUUGUUGGAUCUGCACUGUCAAUACAGACAGGAAGAUACCAAUCUAAGAGAUGAGGGGCAAGUGGAGUCCAAAGGCAAAAAGUUUUGGUACAUGUGCUUGCCAGACACCCAGUUCGUGGAAUAUUGAAUAUUAAGUUUUCAUACAUAGAGACCCUUAAAAAAUAAAAUACUUAAGUUCUAUUUCUACAGUGGUUGUAAGGAUUCUGUGCUGAACCACUAACUGCAUGAUUUAAGUCUUAACUGAAACUAUUGCAUUGUGCUAUUAAGCAAGGCACAUAACUCUGCCAACACCAAUUUGACUGACAAGAAAAGUAAAAAAAAAA